rnacentral:rRNA from 1 species
UACGUAGGGUGCGAGCGUUUAAUCGGAAUUACUGGGCGUAAAGCGUGCGCAGGCGGUGCGCCAAGCUCGAUGUGAAAGCCCCCGGGCUUAACCUGGGAAUUGCAUUGAGGACUGGCGUGCUCGAGUGCGGCAGAGGGAGGUGGGAAUUCCAACGUGUAGCAGUGAAAUGCGUAGAGAUGUGGAGGAACACCGAUGGCGAAGGCAGCCUCCUGGGCCAGCACUGACGCUCAUGCACGAAAGCGUGGGGAGCAAACAGG